rnacentral:misc_RNA from 1 species
GCUGAAUUUAUCUCCAUAACCUAUCAUUGCAGUUUCCAUUCUAAGGGGGUAUGUUCUGUGAUGACUACUUGAAUACAUUUCGAUAAUCACCCAAAAAACCCUUGUUGGUUCCUUGCAUAGAUACAGACAGGUUCCUUGUAGCUUCGCCCUCAUGCCUAGUUGCCCCAUUGGACUCCAUAACCCCAACCAUAGCAGUCACUCGUCUUUAUCUAUGGGGCAAAUAUGCAUCCAAAUACAACUGCAGCGCACAACUAUACAAACCAGCACACGUUUUCGUUAAAUGUAACGUCGACUACAUCGGGGCCUUUCAGUCAAAGCCAGGAGCGAGCCCCUGCUAGCAACCACCCAGUGGCCAAUCCAGGAGGUGGCCAAACCUUUAUCCAGAAGAACAAUAAUGUGAUUGGGACCACUAGCACAAGCCCCGCCCCUGUUCCUGUUGAAGCGUCCGUUGAGAUGCCUCUUCCAGAGAAUUCCCAAUCGAAUGGCACGUUGGAAGAUGGUCCACCUCAUCUUGGGUUUCUCAUAGGCAAUUCAGUAGCGGCGAAGGAUAAAUUCACAGCUUCCGAAAGCUUGUCGGAACCUCCAGCUACUGAGGCGAAGGCUGGCGCACCCAUUCAGGCAAUUCCUGAUAAAACUGAGCCCGUUAAGGAUGAAUCAUCUUCCAAGGUAAGUUGAGUGGCGGCGCCCAAACCUACAGAUUUAACUUAAAGCCUUCCACA